UACGGAGGGUGCAAGCGUUGUCCGGAUUUAUUGGGUUUAAAGGGAGCGUAGGCGGCCUUGUAAGUCAGUGGUGAAAUCUCGCAGCUUAACUGCGAAACUGCCAUUGAUACUGCAGGGCUUGAGUACAGAUGCUGUGGGCGGAAUAUGACAUGUAGUGGUGAAAUACAUAGAGAUGUCAUAGAACACCGAUUGCGAAGGCAGCUCACAAAACUGUAACUGACGCUGAGGCUCGAAAGUGUGGGGAUCAAACAGG
rnacentral:rRNA from 1 species